GCUCACAAUCACAAUCACGAGUGGUCGUUUGCUCUGUGAAUAUAUAACUCACACAGGUCUUGCAAAUAACCUGAUAGCCAGCCAUAAGCUGCUGGAUGCACCACAUCGAAAUGCCUACGUGCAAGUAUAGAAGCACUGAUAUUUUCGUCCAAAAAUAAUAAGUAUAAUGGUGCUUAUUUAGAAUUGCAGAAUUAGGACAGAUUUGAUUUCUAGGCUGGGUUGAUGGUCGAAGCAAGUGGCUGGUGGUUGG
rnacentral:lncRNA from 1 species